rnacentral:misc_RNA from 1 species
AACUAUCAAAACACUUUUCUUGGGUGUUUUGGACUUUGGGAGUAUCUUGCUGGUCUGUUUGAGCCAGCUCUCCUCAAAAGCAUUAGCUUUGGAGACCAUCAGUGUGAUAAUUUGUUUACACUGAUUUGAGUGUCUCAGCUUCUCCUUUUCAAUACACCC